GUCCCAGUGGCCUAAUGGAUAAGGCAGCAGUUUCCGGAGCUGCUGAUACGGGUUCAAUUCCUGUCUGGGACGCCA
rnacentral:tRNA from 1 species